UGGGAACGUGCCCAAAGGUACGGAACAACUCCGGGAAACUGGAGCUAAUACCGUAUGUGCCCGAAAGGGGAAAGAUUCAUCGCCUUUGGAUCGGCCCGCGUUUGAUUAGCUAGUUGGCGGGGUAAUGGCCCACCAAGGCGACGAUCAGUAGCUGGUCUGAGAGGAUGACCAGCCACACUGGGACUGAGACACGGCCCAGACUCCUACGGGAGGCAG
rnacentral:rRNA from 1 species